UGAAAGGGUGGGGUAAGAGCCCACCGCGUUCACGGCAACGUGAACGGCACGGCAAACCUCGUCGCGAGCAAGGCCGAGCAAUGGAUAUGCGCUAUUCGCGCCCCUUUCAUGGCCUCGCCGUGAAAGGGCGUCCAUGGGUUGGCCGCGUGAGCCGCGAUGCGAAUCGCGGACAAGAUGGAUGGCGCCCGCCGCGCUUCGGCGCGGUACAGAACCCGGCUUACAGGCCCGCCCUUUUU
rnacentral:RNase_P_RNA from 1 species